UACGGAGGGUGCAAGCGUUAUCCGGAUUCACUGGGCUUAAAGGGUGCGUAGGCGGACAGGUAAGUCCGUGGUGAAAUCCUGCAGCUUAACUGCAGAACUGCCAUGGAUACUAUCUAUCUUGAAUGUCGUGGAGGUUAGCGGAAUAUGUCAUGUAGCGGUGAAAUGCUUAGAUAUGACAUAGAACACCCAUUGCGAAGGCAGCUAACUAGGCGAUAAUUGACGCUGAUGCACGAAAGCGUGGGGAUCAAACAGG
rnacentral:rRNA from 1 species